rnacentral:tRNA from 1 species
GGCCUGAUGGUCUAGGGGUAUGAUUCUCGCUUUGGGUGCGAGAGGUCCCGGGUUCAAAUCCCGGUUAGGCCC